AACGAACGCUGGCGGCAUGCCUAACACAUGCAAGUCGAACGAGACCUUCGGGUCUAGUGGCGCACGGGUGCGUAACGCGUGGGAACCUGCCCUUAGGUUCGGAAUAACUCCCCGAAAGGGUGCUAAUACCGGAUAAUGUCUUCGGACCAAAGAUUUAUCGCCUUUGGAUGGGCCCGCGUUGGAUUAGCUAGUUGGUAGGGUAAAAGCCUACCAAGGCGACGAUCCAUAGCUGGUCUGAGAGGAUGAUCAGCCACACUGGGACUGAGACACGGCCCAGACUCCUACGGGAGGCAGCAGUGGGGAAUAUUGGACAAUGGGCGAAAGCCUGAUCCAGCUAUGCCGCGUGAGUGAUGAAGGCCUUAGGGUUGUAAAGCUCUUUUACCCGGGAUGAUAAUGACAGUACCGGGAGAAUAAGCUCCGGCUAACUCCGUG
rnacentral:rRNA from 1 species